UAAGGAAGCACCAGGUACCAGAGCUGGUUUGCGUUGUUGCUUAGGCUUAGGCAAGAGCUUGGUCCGACAAUACCAUCUUGAUUUGUUGCUUCUCUUGAGCAGCCUACUAGUACUGAGUCUGACGAGAAGGUGCGUGUGACAGGAGCCAAGAACUGGAUGAUCCAGGAUGGUGUCAUGCCCAGAGCAUGAUAAUUGCAUCCCAGGUGCGCCGCAUGAUGGAGGGUGGCUUGGAAGCCGAAAGGGGAACCGGAUCUCUGGUCCAUGUUUGUGGCAUCGAUGCGAUGAACAAGUUUUGAGGAACUCAUCAUCUUCCCAUGAUGUGGCAGCAUAUGAUGCAUAGUUGAGAAGCAAAAGCAGCAGCACUACCAGAAGAAGUUUAUGCGAGUUCAUGUGAUGUAUUCAGAGAUGAAGGCGGUCGAAGAGAAGGUGUGCCUUAGAAUGAGGACCUCAACCUCUCGGAGGACUGAUUCUGUGCUUGUCAAGAUAGCUACGUGGUGGUGAGGAAUUGCUGCUGCCAAUAUUGCUUGGACGGUAAAGCGAGAGAUAUCUUAUCAGUUACCUGGAAGAUUCUUCGAUCUUAUCCCUACUAUUUUGACUGACUUGGACUACAUGCUACUAGAUACACACCUUUAUUAUAUAUAGAUACAUAUAAUUUGGGACCUAACUACAUGCUACUAGAUACACAAGCCUAACUACAUGCUACUAGAUACAUAUUAUAUAUCUAGAUGCAUAGCAAAAGCUAUGUGCAGUAGAAAAGCUAAAACGAUCUAUAAUUUGGGAUAUAAUUUGGGAUAGGGUGGUAUUUAUUUUCCUAGUGAAGGCGCUAUGAGAGAGUUGAUUUCUGACGAGGCUUGUGACAGAUGAGUGACUGCUGUCAGGUGAGUAGAAGUUCAGUUAUAGGAUGCCGAACUUCCAGUGAUUGCUGUGUGAUUACUGUUGUUACUUGCAAGUCAUUGUUGUAUCUUUGAUGCGAUUUACUAUUAUUAGUAUAUUAAUACCUUCA